UAUCUAGGGUCUUCACAUAUUGAUACACACACCAUUGCAACUUAGAUCACCAUCACCACCACCAUCCCCUGCAUCAGACACCCUAAAUCGUGCCCUUCAUCAGACACCCUACAGUAAAUGCACCACAAACAACACAGGCAAAGAAGAAGAAAA